rnacentral:lncRNA from 1 species
UCUUUCCAGAAUUGUUCUUCCACAAACUCACUGUCAGAUUGAAUUUACUAGCAAGCUUAUCAAAAUACAGCUGAAGUUUCUCCUUCUCUUCGUCAUAAAUGCGAUGUAUAUAAUAUAAAAUAUCUUUGGAUUGAAACUCAAACAUGGGUUGUGUUGCGCGGAAGCGUGUGAAAGAGUAAAAUUAUUGUAUUGAAAAAUCACACUAAGUUCAAUUCCCAGGAAAGAGAGGUGGAUCACGAGGAUCGCGUACAUACCAGAUCUUUCCUAGCCAGAAUAUCCCUCUAUCGUAAUUUAAUAGCACAAUAAAUCACUACAAUAACACUUGCAAAAUAUGCAGAACAAAAAUAAAGAACACUAGAAUUUUAACGAGGUUCAGCAAAUUUUGCCUACGUCCUCGGGCACUACCAAAUAUAUUUCACUCCAAAAAUACAAGUGAAAGUUUACAAAUAGGGAGAGAGAACAAUUGCCUUAAGUAGAGAAUGGCAAGUGUGGGAUGAAGAAAGUAAGAAAUGGUUAGGCCUAUUUAUAGUUGAGGUUCAAGGAUCAACUUGCAAUGUCCCUAUACAAUUAGGGACCAAAAUUGCAAUUAUCUCAUGCCAACUUUUAACCCAACUUGCCAACCAAUUUUACUUUCUACUUUCGGUGCCCACCCUUUUUGACUUUUCAAACAAUGGGUGGGUUCCAAUAAUCUCCACCUUGAAGAUUUGAUUAGGAUAAUCUUAUCUUCACACAAUUCUUUCUACCUUUGACAACAAUACUUGAUAGUGCCUUCUUCAACUGUUAAACUUGCAGGAUAUUAAUCAAGUUCAAACAAUGUUCGAACUUGGUUGAUGUUACCACCUUGGUCAUCAUAUCUGCGGGAUUAUCCGCAGUCUUGAUCUUCUGAAGACAAAUUUUCCCCUCUUCAAUAAUUUCCCGCACAAAAUGGAAUCGUACGUCGAUAUGUUUUGUACGUGCAUGAUAGACUUGAUUCUUUGCUAAAUGAAUAGCACUUUGACUAUCACAAUACACGUUAAUAUGCUCCUGAACCAACCCCAAGGUUUUAGCCAUACCUUGUAACCAAAUAGCCUCCUUUACAGCCUCUGUUACAGCCAUGUACUCGGCUUCUGUGGUUGACAAUGCAACUGUAGACUGUAGUGUAGACUUCCAACUUAUUGGUCCUCCAGCAAGUGUAAACACAUAACCGGUGGUUGAUCUUCGCUUGUCCAAAUCACCGGCAUAGUCAGAAUCAACGUACCCAAUAACACCUUUACCAAGUGUAUUAUCCUGCUUGAACAGUAAUCCAACAUCCACGGUCUUCUGAAUAUACCGUAGAAUCUAUUUCACAGCUUGCCAAUGUCCUUUUCCAGGAUUAUACAUAUACCUGCUCACUAUACUAACUGCCUGUGAAAUGUCGGGUCUUGUACACACCAUUGCAUACAUCAAGCUACCCACUGCAUUAGAAUACGGAACUUGCAACAUGUAUUCUCGUUCCGUAUUCGUCGAAGGAGAUAGUUGUGCAGAAAGCUUGAAAUGAGAAGCCAACGAGGUACUUACAGGUUUGGUCUGCUCGUUCAUGCCAAACUGCUGUAGUACUUUCUUCAAAUACUGCUUCUGAGACAAGCUAACUCUGCCAUGAGCUCUAUCUCUACAUAUUUCCAUGCCGAGAAUCUUUUUAGCUUCUCCUAGAUCUUUCAUCUCAAACUCGAGAUUGAGUUGAGUCUUCAAUCUCUCAAUCUCAACUUUGCUCUUAGAUGCUAUCAGCAUAUCAUCAACAUAUAAGAGCAAGUAUAUGAAAGUUCCUUCUUGUAGCUUCUGAAAAUAUACGCAAUGAUCAAAUUUACUUCUUGUGUGCCUUUGCCCUUUCAUGAACUGAUCAAAUCGCUUGUACCACUGCCUCGGAGAUUGCUUCAAUCCAUAAAGCGACUUUGUCAGUUUGCAAACCCAAUUUUCUUUUCCAGCAACCUUGAAUCCAUCUGGCUGAGUCAUAUAGAUUUCCUCUUCCAAAUCACCGUGUAAAAACGCGGUCUUCACAUCAAGCUGAACUAGUUCAAGAUCAUAUUGCGCAACCAAGGCUAGCAAAAUCCGAAUAGACGAAUGCUUUACAACUGGAGAAAACACUUCAUUAUAGUCUAUUCCUUCUUUCUGAGCGUAACCCUUUGCUACCAAUCUAGCCUUGUAUCGAAUUUCAUUUUUUCCAGGAAAUCCUUCCUUCUUUGCAUAUAUCCAUUUGCAUCCAAUUGCCUUCUUUCCCUUGGGCAGUCUCACCAACUCCCAAGUCCUAUUUUUAUGAAGAGACUGCAUUUCUUCAUUCAUAGCUUGCUUCCACUUUACACCAUCAGAGUUACUUAUUGCUUCUGUGUAAGUGGAAGGAACAUCAUCAUCUGCAAUUGGAAGUGCAUAGGCCACCAUAUCGUCAAAGCGAGCAGGCUUACGAAUCUCUCUUCUUGGCCUCCUAUAUGCAAUUGAAUCUUGUUGCUGUAGAAGUUCUUGGGUCGAAACUUCUUCAUCAUUUGUUCUUUCAAUAUUAGCUGGAUCAUCAUUAACCUUUUCAAACUCCACCUGCUGCAAAGUACUACUGGUUUUGUCAUCCUUUUGUGAAUCCUCGUUCUUCAUCAUGGUUGAUUCAUCAAAAGUUACAUCUCUACUGAAAACAAUCUUCCUUGUAUCAGGACACCAGAGACGGUAUCCUUUUACACCACCAGUUAUACCCAUGAAUAAUGCUUUCUUUGCUCUUGGGUCUAACUUAGAUUCUUUUACAUGAUAAUAUGCAGUGGAACCAAAAACAUGUAAAGAAUCAUAAUCAGUAGCAGGUUUACCAUUCCACAUCUCCAUAGGAGUUUUUCCAUUUAUUGCAGCUGAUGGCAAUCGGUUAAUUAGAUGGCACGCAUAUGUAACUGCCUCAGCCCAAAAUUCCUUGCCCAAUCCAGCAUUGGACAACAUACAUCGAACUUUCUCCAGUAUAGUCCGAUUCAUGCGUUCUGCCAUCCCAUUCUGCUGUGGUGUAUCUCGAACAGUGAAGUGUCGCACAAUGCCCUCAUCUUGACAUACUUGUAGAAAUGGAUCAUUUUUGUACUCAGUACCAUUAUCUGAUCGAAGUCGUUUGACCUUUCGACCUGUCUGAGUCUCCACCAUCUUCUUCCACUUCAGAAAUGCAUCCAAAACUUCAUUUUUUCUUUUCAUUAGAUACACCCAUACUUUUCUUGAAUAAUCAUCAAGAAAAGUGACAAAAUAGUGCAUACCUCCCAAAGAAGCCACUUUGGUAGGUCCCCACACAUCACUGUGAACAUAGUCCAGAAUUCCUUUCGUAUUGUGAAUUGCUGAACCAAAUUUUACCCUCGUCUGCUUGCCCAGAACACAAUGUUCACAGAAUUCCAAUUUGCAAGAAUUUGCACCUUUCAACAAGCCUUGCUUCGCCAAAGUCUGCAAAACUUUUUCACCAGCAUGUCCCAAUCGCCUAUGCCAUAACCUGGUAGCCUCUGAAUCUGCAUCUUUCGCAGAAGCUGUUGAUGUUGAUCCAAUAACUGUACUUCCAUUUAAAUAGUACAAGUUAUUUCUUCUAGUGCCUUUCAUCACCGUCAAUACCCCAGCUACUACCUUUAGUAAUCCAUCUCUCAAAGUGAUUGUGAGCCCUUUAGAUUCUAGGGCCCCUAAUGAGAUGAGAUUUUUCUUCAAGCUGGGUACAUAGCGAACAUCUGUCAGAACUUGGAUUGAGCCGUCAUGGUUCUUCAAUUUGAUUGUACCUACACCCAUUGUCUUACAAGCACUAUCAUUGCCCAUAAAAACAACUCCACCUUCUAGUUCUUCAAGACUAGAAAACCAGUCCUUAUUAGGACACAUAUGGUAAGUACAUCCCGAAUCCAAUAUCCACUCAUCCGUUUGACAUGCCAUUGCCAUGCCAACCAAGCUAAAGUCUGACUCCUCAUCAUGCUCCGCUACACAUGCAUUAGAAAUAGACUUGCCCUUUUGUAACUUAGGACAAUUCUUUUUCCAAUGCCCUUUCUCACGACAAAAGGCACAUUCAUCUUUGGCGGGUCUCCCUUUGGACUUACCCCUUCUACCAGGUUUGCUGCUGUGUGAACGACCUCUUACUGUUAAGACUUCUGCAGUUGUAUCUCUGUGAUCUCUUUUAUCUUUCUUUCGAGUCUCAGAUCUAUACAACGCACUACAGACUGCAUCAAAUGUGAUUGAAUCUUUCCCAUGAAGCAAUGUGGUGGUAAGAUGAUCAUAUUCAUCAGGAAGGGAAUUCAACAACAAUAAUGCCUUGUCUUCAUCUUCAAAUUUCUCAUCCAAAUUUAGCAAGUCUGCUAAAAUUUUAUUGAAUGAGUUCACAUGGUCAUUCAUCGACAUACCGGGUGCAUACGUGAACCGAAAAAGUUUCUUUUUCAUAUAAAGCCUAUUUUCAAGACUUUUCGUUAGAAACUUUUCUUCCAAUGUAUCCCACAGCUUCUUCGCUGAUGUCUCCCUCAUGACGGAGUACUUCUGCUCUUUGGCCAAACAUAGGCGGAUUGUACCACACGCCUGUCUAUUGAUCUUGGCCCACUCCUUGUCAUCCAUCUUGUCAGGUUUUUCUUCAAGGGCUAUAUCCAGCUCUUGCUGACAUAAGACAUCCAGGAUCUCACACUGCCACAUACCAAAAUUAUUGGUACCGUCAAAUUUCUCUACUUCAAAUUUUGCAUUUGUCACAGUAGUCCUUGCUGAUGACGAUGCUGCUGCCAUUUUUCUCCUCAAUCCCAACUACUGUAUACGUGAACAGUACCGUAUACGUGAAUAGUGCCGUAUACGUGAAUAGUACCGUAUACGUGAAUAGUGCCGUAUACGUGAAUAGUACCGUAAACGGUCGUAUUCCCCAAGUACGAACCUGGCUCUGGUACCAAUUGUUGCGCGGAAGCGUGUGAAAGAGUAAAAUUAUUGUAUUGAAAAAUCACACUAAGUUCAAUUCCCAGGAAAGAGAGGUGGAUCACGAGGAUCGCUUACAUACCAGAUCUUUCCUAGCCAGAAUAUCCCUCUAUCGUAAUUUAAUAGCACAAUAAAUCACUACAAUAACACUUGCAAAAUAUGCAGAACAAAAAUAAAGAACACUAGAAUUUUAACGAGGUUCAGCAAAUUUUGCCUACGUCCUCGGGCACUACCAAAUAUAUUUCACUCCAAAAAUACAAGUGAAAGUUUACAAAUAGGGAGAGAGAACAAUUGCCUUAAGUAGAGAAUGGCAAGUGUGGGAUGAAGAAAGUAAGAAAUGGUUAGGCCUAUUUAUAGUUGAGGUUCAAGGAUCAACUUGCAAUGUCCCUAUACAAUUAGGGACCAAAAUUGCAAUUAUCCCAUGCCAACUUUUAACCCAACUUGCCAACCAAUUUUACUUUCUACUUUCGGUGCCCACCCUUUUUGACUUUUCAAACAAUGGGUGGGUUCCAAUAGGUUGCAAACCUUUCACAAAAUUCUUAAAGGUUUCUUGCUCAGCCAUAUCCAAAGGACAUUGAAGCUUAAUCAUCAUUUUCACAAGAUCCAUGUGACUCCUUUUUUUAUCAAACCUCAAGCUUCCUU